AUUGAACGCUGGCGGCAGGCCUAACACAUGCAAGUCGAGCGGAUGAAGGGAGCUUGCUCCUGGAUUCAGCGGCGGACGGGUGAGUAAUGCCUAGGACUCUGCCUGGUAGUGGGGGAUAACGUCCGGAAACGGGCGCUAAUACCGCAUACGUCCUGAGGGAGAAAGUGGGGGAUCUUCGGACCUCACGCUAUCAGAUGAGCCUAGGUCGGAUUAGCUAGUUGGUGGGGUAAAGGCCUACCAAGGCGACGAUCCGUAACUGGUCUGAGAGGAUGAUCAGUCACACUGGAACUGAGACACGGUCCAGACUCCUACGGGGGGCAGCAGUGGGGAAUAUUGGACAAUGGGCGAAAGCCUGAUCCAGCCAUGCCGCGUGUGUGAAGAAGGUCUUCGGAUUGUAAAGCACUUUAAGUUGGGAGGAAGGGCAGUAAGUUAAUACCUUGCUGUUUUGACGUUACCAACAGAAUAAGCACCGGCUAACUUCGUG
rnacentral:rRNA from 1 species